GGGGGCGAUCGGUUUCGAUCCGGCUCUUUGAUCUGAUAGUAGCAUGCGGAGGUUGUCGGGAGGCCUCCUUAAACACCUGGCACCAAAUUAAACGCUAAAAACACGAACAUCGUGCGGGUGCCCUUCAUGGCACCUAUGGCGUUUCCGCUAGCCGCCUAAUAACGGCUGCCGUCCGCUCAUCUGCGCCUGCGGGAUGAGGUCGGGCGUCGAUAGCAGGCUGGUCUUGCCAGCGUGUCUCUGGCUGGUUUGACGAGAUGUGACAUGGGGCUCACUCUUUAAAAUCGUGCUGAUUCGAGCUUGGAGAGGACAUCUAAAUAAGCAGCUAAGCAUGUAGAAGCUCCAGGUGCGAAAGCCGGAGACGCGGGUUCAAUUCCCGCCGCCUCCACCA
rnacentral:tmRNA from 1 species